rnacentral:rRNA from 1 species
UCUAAUACCGGAUAGGACCACUGCGGGCAUCCGUGGUGGUGGAAAGUUCCGGCGGUGCAGGAUGGGCCCGCGGCCUAUCAGCUUGUUGGUGGGGUGAUGGCCUACCAAGGCGACGACGGG